UCCUUCGCGUGUGAGUCAUCUCUCAUGUAUGAACUAUUUUUCUCAUUUCACAAAGACUCAUUGUCUUAGGUUGUUGAUUAUGAGCUUCUUUUUGUUAUUCGUCUUUUCAGAUUUCAUGUUCUUACUGCCUUCACCCAAAUAUUCAAAAAGUCUUUGUUUGAUUUUGGGAUUUCACAAUUUUCUCCGCCAUAACAAAAAGAUUUGAAAAUGUAUGUUAG
rnacentral:lncRNA from 1 species